rnacentral:rRNA from 1 species
GACGAACGCUGGCGGCGUGCUUAACACAUGCAAGUCGAACGGAAAGGCCCUGCUUUUGUGGGGUGCUCGAGUGGCGAACGGGUGAGUAACACGUGAGUAACCUGCCCUUGACUUUGGGAUAACUUCAGGAAACUGGGGCUAAUACCGGAUAGGAGCUCCUGCUGCAUGGUGGGGGUUGGAAAGUUUCGGCGGUUGGGGAUGGACUCGCGGCUUACCAGCUUGUUGGUGGGGUAGUGGCUUACCAAGGCUUUGACGGGUAGCCGGCCUGAGAGGGUGACCGGCAGAAGUGGGAAUGAGAUAGGGCCCAGACUCCGACGGGAGGAAGGAGGGGGGAAUAGUGCAGAAGGGGGGGAAGUCGGAUGCAGCAACGCCGGGGGGGGGAUGAGGGCCUUCGGGGUGGAAAACGGUUUCGCCGGGGAAGAAGGGGGAGGGAGGGUAAGGGGUAAAGAAACAACGGCUAAAUACGU